rnacentral:rRNA from 1 species
AUGGCGCGCAUAAACUUCGGUGUUAUCACCCUGAUCCCCAAAGUAGUUGGGGCGACGAACAUUCGCCAAUUCAGGCCUAUCACAGUUAUCAACGUCCUGGAGCGCAUCUUCUCUAAAGUAUGCGUGUCUAGACUCGCGCCUAUUAAUGAGAGGAUGAAUCACCCACUCCAGACAGCAUUCCUGAAAGGGAGAAGAUUCCAUGACGGGAUACUCUCCCUCCAUGAGAUUGUCCACGAGGUGCGAUCACGUGGGCUGAAGGGUGUAUGUUUGAAGCUGGACUUCCAGAAAGCAUAUGAUCGGCUUGACUGGGAUUUCCUGCGCCUUGUCAUG